GGUGGAUUUAGUUGACACAUUGCUUGUUUGGAUAAUACCGUGAAAACAUAUCAUGGAGAGAGUCCAUCUGAGAAUCUGAAUAACAAAGGUGCGAAUUGAGAAGGUUCUCAAGGCUGGUGCUAAUAUUGUAGAUAACAUGUUUCAGCAUCAUUAUUAAUUGUUAAGGCAUGCUCUUUGCGGGCUUCACAUCCCUCUGCUUGAUUGCUGGUCUUCGUUUGUUAUCUACCCGUUGUUGCCAGAGCACAUGAGUAGCAAACACACAAAAUAUAAUCUCCCAAAACAAACCUAUGUGCCUAUAUCGGGCGCGGCCGCCGCCAUUGAGGUGAUGGGGGAGGUGGGCGAGCGGGAGGGUCGAGGCCCGGCGGUGAGGUGGCCGGCGGGCGACGGUGCUGUGGCGACACCGAGGGGCAGGAUCCGGGGAGGACAUGCGGGAUCUGGUCAUGCCGGUCUUCCUCUGCGUUGCUACUUGCGCUGCUUCCUCCUCCUCUUGGCUGCCUCGUCUCCCCCAGGUAGGAAAUCAAGGGCUCCAAUUCUUCUCUUUUGUUUGUUUGAUUCUCAGUUAUAGAAGAUUCUUGCUGAUGGCGAUCACAGGGAGCAUCAUGGUGAGUUCGCAUUGGCGUGACGGUGCUGCACCCGUUGAGUAAUGCAUCGGUAUAGGCUUGGGAUUGCAGCGGUUGUACCUACAGAAGUGGCAGAAAGCAAAGCUAAAAUUAUGUUGAAGCUUCUUUCAUCAAGGUUAAUUAUGAGGACUUGGUGCUCCAUUAUCUCCUCAUUUCACUUAUGUGGGUGGCGAGGAGAUCAUCGAGAUGUCUCGCACCACCGGUGCACGAUGACAAGAUGGUGGGGCCUUUUGGCGUUCUUGCAAUCCGGUUUCCUCGGCCAGAGUUAGGCGACCUUGCCAGCAACACCUCGUCAUCUCGAACUUGUCACUAGGUAUACCAUCUCCCUAGAUGCAAAAGGAGAGGUGCAGAUUCAGGAUCAGUGGUGCAUUGCUUACUAAAAAGAAGAGCUUUGAACAAUUACUUUUGAACAAAAGGACAGAUGGAUUAUCUCGAUCAUUGCCCAACAUUGGACAAUAAUAAUAUUGCCCCUUCAUACAGUGGAGCUGGAGUGCUUAAAGGAUUUUUAUUGAAAAAUAAUCCUCUUGAUCUCUCUUCUAUCUCCAUAGCUCAUAUGUUGAUGCUCCUCCCUUCCUCAUGUGUGAGUCUAACACCGGGGAAGUUUCAUAUUUGUUCAUAACAACUUGACUGUCAACUAAAGAAUUGGAUAUGAGUUAUUACCAACAAUGAUUGCAUCUUACGUGAGAAUGAUCUGGUUCUCGACAAGAAUGCGGAGCUCAUCGGGAUGCAAGAUGCCGAGGUGGCCGGCAUCCAACACCGUGGGCUGUUGGUGCUCCACCCAGCGCCCCACUUCUUGCUUGCAUGCAUGCCACCGGUCAGUUGUAAGAUGCCAACGCCCAGGUACUGCAGGUACCAAUGGGGAAACAACAGAAGAGCGAUGAGGGCAUUGUCUCUAGGUUCAUUCUUAUUUUGAAGAAUAAGUAGUCAAAUCAAGGAUUGAUCGGCGAGUGAUCAAGCAGAGCGAUCUCGGGUUGUACGUGUUCGCGUUGAAUCUGUUGAGUGGCGAUCCCUUCAUGAAUUAAAAAUUGUUGCCAUACUUUGACACCUGCC